rnacentral:rRNA from 1 species
GCCAGACUCCUACGGGAGGCAGCAGUGAGGAAUAUUGGUCAAUGGGCGGGAGCCUGAACCAGCCAAGUCGCGUGAGGGAAGAAGGCCCUGCGGGUCGCAGACCUCUUUGGACGGGGAGCAAGGCCGCCGACGUGUCGGCGGAAGGAGAGUACCCGUAGAACAAGCAUCGGCUAACUCCGUGCCAGCAGCCGCGGUAAUACGGAGGAUGCGAGCGUUAUCCGGAUUUAUUGGGUUUAAAGGGAGCGUAGACGGCAGCGCAAGUCUGGAGUGAAAUGCCGGGGCUCAACCCCGGAACUGCUUUGGAAACUGUGCAGCUAGAGUGCGGGAGAGGUAAGCGGAAUUCCUAGUGUAGCGGUGAAAUGCGUAGAUAUUAGGAGGAACACCAGUGGCGAAGGCGGCUUGCUGGACCGUAACUGACGUUGAGGCUCGAAAGCGUGGGGAGCAAACAGGAUUAGAUACCCCAGUA